rnacentral:misc_RNA from 1 species
UCCUCGUUUAAGCGAGGCAGUCUGUCCAGAGUGCUCCAAACUCUCGUUUGGGUGGCAACUAAGGACAGGGGUUGCGCUCGUUGCGCCACUUAAGGCAACACCUCACGGCACGAGCUGACGACAGCCAUGCACCACCUGUGCAGGCUCCGAAGAGCACCCGCUUUCACGGGUUUCACCCUGCAUGUCAAGCCCAGGUAAGGUUCUUCGCGUUGCAUCGAAUUAAGCCACAUGCUCCGCCGCUUGUGCGGGUCCCCGUCAAUUCCUUUGAGUUUUAGCCUUGCGGCCGUACUCCCCAGGCGGGGUGCUUAAAGCGUUAGCUGCGCCACUGACGAGUAAACCCGCCAACAGCUAGCACCCAUCGUUUACGGCGUGGACUAC